rnacentral:lncRNA from 1 species
GCUCAGAGCUGCCUGGGUCUCUCCAGCCCGAUGUCUGGAACAGCCUGCCUGUCGAUCUGCGGAAAGAGCCUGGAACAGAGGACAGCUGGUUAAAAGAACAUGGAUUUCUGGGUCCCACACCAGACCCAGGAAAUCAACUCAGGAACAGGGCCUGGAAUCUUUUUUUUUUUUUUUUUUUUUUUUUGGUGAGGAAGAUUGUUGCUGAGCUAACAUCUGUGCCAAUCUUCCUCAAUUUUGUAUAUGGGACUCCUCCACAGCAUGGCUUGAUGAGCAUUGCAUACAUCCACACCUGGGAUCUGAACUUGCAAACCCUGGGCCCUGAAGCAGAGUGGGAGAAUGCAACCACUACUGGGCCACCACCAGAAUCUGUCUUUUUAAUCAGUGUCUCAGCUGACUCUUCUGCACCACUGCUGUGGGGGUUGCUAGAGACACAAAUAUGUUUAAAUACAAGAGAGUUCACAGCACGGGGGAGGCACUUCAAGAAGCAGCAUCAGUCAAUAUUCCCAGUGGGGUCUGGACCAAGCUAAGCGACGGCUCUUCUUGGGAGAUCUGUCGUCGCAUGAGACGGUGGGAUUUGUGCCUGGGGCGCGGCUCUUCUGCCUUUUUCUGCUCCCCCAGAACUCAGCUGUUCCUUCAGCCCUCAGCAGCAGGAAGGUGGAAGGUUCCAGUUUCCAGGUGCGGGAUUUCUUAGCGGCCUACGUCCAGCCCCCUUUCUCUGAGACGGCCCCAGCCAGCCCUGUCUCAGCCAGCAUCUUGGAGAGGCAGGAGAAGGCAAAGUCACGUGGGCCCUGGAGAUCCUCGGGACAGGCUGGUGGCCCACUGAAAGGCCUCUUUCUUACGGACAAGCAAGUGAGAACCAGAGAGGGAAAGUGGCUUGCCUGAGGUCACCCAGCCAACGUAAUGGCUGAGCAGAAACUGGAAACUGGCCCACAACCGUGGGUGCAGCGUAUGCUUCAGUCCUGCUGCCUUCCCUGCAGCAUUAAAAUUUGAGAGCAGAAGCGGCCUUAGAGAUCUUUAUAGUCCACCCUGAGUGUUUCAGAUAAGGAGCCGGAGGCCCAGAGAGGGGACACUCCUGCCCCAGCGCCACACAACUCAGCAGUAACACGUGAGGUGGCAGUCCAGGAUCAGCGUUUUCUUGGAACCGAGUCGCCUUCAGUGUCCCUGGAGUGCUGGGGGUUACCGAGGGGGGCAGGGACAGAGAGGCCUUCUAGAUAAAUACCCUGCUCUGGCGCAGGCCUCAGACAGCUGGGCAAACGCCGGCCGGGAGGACCGGCUCAGGCAGAGAUCCCAGAAGGCGGCCUGGGCGGUGGAGGCGGCAUGCCGGCCCGUCGAUGCCCCCUUGUGGCCAAGCGCUGAAACGCCAGGCGGGGACCGAGGCGGCAGGUGCGGCUGCCCUGAGCUUCGCCCUAAGGAGCAUCUUUCACCGCCGCAGGUCACCGGCCAGCGAAGCCAAGGAAGUCUGUGCGUGUGCAGACUCAGGCCAUAAAUGUGGGCCCCACCGGCGGCUGACCAAUAUUUUGGGGUGAGUCCUUGGCUCACGUCGUCGUACGUGAGGACGCAGGGUGUUAAGUGGGGUGCGUGAACUAGAAUAAGUGAUUUAACCUCUUGGAAACUUGUAUCAUCUGAAAAACAGAGAAGAUAGGAAUACACCCCUGAUACAGCUGUUGUGACACACAGUAAACGCUCAAGGAAUGGAGCUGAAUAAUGACGACAUUACAGACCGAAUGUUUGUGUCCCCUCCCCACUUCCUACGUUGAAGCCUGACCCCCAGUGCUGUCGUGCUUGGAAGCGGGGCCUUUGGGAGUGAUGAGGGUUAAAUGAGGUGGUGAGGUGGGGCUCCUGUGAGGGGACUAGUGCCCUUGUGGAAGACAGAGAGAACCAGAGCUGCGGUUGCUGCCCUGCGAGCACACAGGGAGAAGGUCAUCUGCUGACAGAGAGACGGUCCUUUCUCACCAGGAACCGGAUCUCCCGCCACCUUGACCUUGGGCUUCCAGCCUCCAGAACUGUGAGAAAUAAAUCUCUCUUGUUUAAGCCCCGAGUCUGUGGUGUUCAGUUCUGGCUGCCUGAGCAGACUAAGACAAAUCAUCAGCAUUUCUAUUUGCAGGACUGCCAAGUGGAGAAAAAGCAGACCUGUUCUCUUUAGUCCCAAAGAAGGAGCAAAAGCCAAGGAGUAAAAGCUUCAGUGUCGUCUCAGAGCAAAGGCUGAGCUGUCCAAAGAUGGGACAGGGGCCUCUGGAGGUGGCCAGUCCCUGCCUCAGGUCGCAGGGCGCACCAGAGCUGGGUGGGCAGGUGGGGUGGUUAGAGCCCGUGGCUGAGGAUCAGUCUGGGGCCGUUUGCAGCCUUGGGAGGGACAGGGAGGCAGGAGGAAGUCUCCCACUGCGGGAGGGAGCACUGGCCUUGGGGAGAUUCACAGAAGGGUCCGGAACAACAGUAGAGAUGAGCUGCUCCAUGAUCCUCCGGGAGCUGGCCCCUCACUGACCACCCCGCACGGCGGGACUGGUUCCCGCUGAGAAGUUGCUCUGCUUUCUCUCUGCUUUGCUGACUCUCUGGCUUGAGGACAAAGUGCUGCGGCCUCUUUAAUACCCCAGCACUGCGGGCUGGGCAUCCUGAUCACUGCUGGUUCAAAGGUCAGAAACCCCAAGGGGCAGCUGAACUUGUGGCAACGGUGGGAGAGGAGUUGCUGUUGACCAACGUCUGGGCCAGAAGGCCACUUAUUCCUGGCAGAUUCUGGAACUCUAGAGGGAGGGCUUACUCCCUUGUCCAGGGAACAAGCUCAGAGCAGUUGCUUAUUCACCCAUCCACCCCAUGCUGCGACUAAAAUCCAAAUUCCAGAUUCCAAAUGCUGCUAAAAGGCAGCCCUCUUCCUUCAGCCAUUGACCCCAGAAAUGCCCUGGCCGAGUGGUCUCCUCUUGGACUGCUUACCAUCUCCCAGGUUUCACCUGCAGUCCUGCAGCUCGUGCCUCAGGGUCUACCUGGGAAAUGAUAGCAAAAUAAACUGCUGAGAUGUUCAGGCUCUUUCCUCUGGGCAGAGUAUACACAGAAGCCAGAUGCAAUGGAAGCACUAACAGGGGACAGCCGACCUCCCUGCCGUGUGCCGUGGGGAACCAGGGCCUAGGACACACGUUCCUGACAAACGCCAUGCUUCCUGCCUGGGCACAUGGUGGUGGUGGUGUUUGAGGCCAGCGUUACACCUCAUUGUGCUAAUGUGCAUGUUUGAGCAAAGUUCAGAGUACAGUGGGAGGUAAAAACUCCAGUCCUCAAAGCCACAGAUAUCCAGAAUCCACACAGUAGCCUGCUCUUUCCAGGACCUCCAGGUGGAUGGGCAGUGUCUUCGUCAUCUCGGGCUGCUGUAACAAGAACCAUAGACUGGGGGCUUGAACAAGAGACGUUUGAUUCUCACAGUUCUGGAGGCUGGAAGUGCCAGCCUGGUUGGGUUCUGGUGAGAGGUCUCUUCCUGGUUUGCAGAUGGCGCCUGGUCACUGUGUCCUCACAGGGCAGAGAGAGAGCAAGCUCUGGUGUCUCUUCCUCUUCUUACAAGGGCACCAGUUCUGUCAGAUCAGGGCCCCACCCUUCUGACCUCAUUCAACCUUCAUCACCUGCAGACAGGCCCAUCUGCAAUACAAUCACUUGGGAGGUCAGAGCUUCAGCAUGUGACUUUGGAGGGACACAGUUCAGUCCACAGCAGUCACGCACCGCAUUGCAUCAAAAGACAUGGAAGUUUGAAAAGAGAGAAUGCCAGAGAAGAAAGAGUGGGGAAGGGAAGGGGCCAUGGCCAAGACGGUGUCAGAGAGAGUUACCAAAAAUACGUAAAACCAGGGAUCCAGACCACCAUCUGGGGCCACUCGUAAAUCAGCAGGAAAGGCUGGAAGGGCGCAUGGUGGUCUUCCUCUACUCUACGCCAGCUCUCCUGGAUCCUGGUGCCAGCUCAGGGCAUCUUCUCCUCUCCUUGUCACCAUAGACUCAAAAAAAAAGCACUCAUUUGGAGACAGGGAGGAGGUGAUGGGAAAGAGAUCAGAGAGAGAGACUGUUACACUUUAGGUCCUGAGAGGACAUGGGUCUCCCUGGGUCUGCGAGUUAGGAACUUUCUGCACGCCACAUGCCUCACAGGCCCAGGAGAGCAUCUGCACGGUGGUAGUUUGGAAAGACUCAUGGAAAACAGAGCAAAAGCUGGGGCCCAGGAGAACUCCUGCCUUUUCACAAAAUCCUUUUGGAUGAGGGGGUGUUGAAAGAAUGAUCAAGAGAUGUCAUGGAAUCUUCUUGCCCACACCCUUGAACAAGCAGGACAGAUAGUUCCUAGUAUCCAUCAUCCAUUAUCAAUUAGCCAUUAUCCAUUAUCCAUCAUCCAUCAGCCAUCAGCCAUCAUGCCGGAAGCCACAGGAGCCUGCACCGCUCCUCUCUUCAAGCUGCUGACAAUCACUGCUGUGCCAGCGAUGCAGAGAAUCCUUCCUCUCCCACCUCUUUUCUUCUUUAUUCCCCACCUGGAAAUUGAUGUUGCUUGAAAGGACUUGUUGAGCUUUUGUUUUGCUUUUUUCUUAACAAGAACUGGAAAAUUUGAGUAGUCUUUUUGCAACGUUAGAGUAUGAAGGUUGUGCUCCCCUCUAAGGAUUUUACAAUGCGGAGAAGUUGGAGGUGACCAGAAACAAAUAAACUGAGGAAGCUUUAUUGCCUAAUUACUUGGAGGAUGAUUAAAAAAAAAAGCAGUUAUGGGGCUGGCCCCGUGGCCGAGUGGUUAAGUUCGCGCGCUGCUCUGCAGGCGGCCCAGUGUUUCGUUGGUUCGGAUCCUGGGCGCGGACAUGGCACUGCUCAUCAGACCACGCUGAGGCAGCGUCCCACAUGCCACAACUAGAAGAACCCACAACGAAGAAUACACAACUAUGUACCGGGGGCUUUGGGGAGAAAAAGGAAAAAAUAAAAUCUUUAAAAAAAAAAAAAAAAGCAGUUAUGCUUGGGGCUGCUAGGUGCUACUUACUCUCUAUUCUUCCUUUCUUCCUUAAUAAGAGAAAACUUGUAUUGUUUUGGAUAGCAGUGUACCCAAACUAAAAACACAAAACAAAAACUGUAUGUCCAGGUCUUCUUUGCAGAUGUGAGUGGCCAAUGAGCUCUAAACAGAAGCUUUUGGAUGGGGCCUCCAGUAAACAAGACUUAUUUAGCCUGCAGACACCCCUUGUCCCUGCUUGUUCCUUUUUCUUCCUGCCUGGAACAUGGACAUGAUGACUGGAGCUGUGGCAGCCAUCUUGGAACCAUGAAGGAAAAGUCAAGAAAAUUAUAAAAACUUUGGCCCUGGCAUACUUGAGCUUCUACACCAGGGGUUGGCAAACUAUGGCCCGUGAGCCAAAUCUGGCCCACCAUCUGUUUUUGUAAAUAAAGUUUUAUUGGAAUACAA